UUGGAUCUCACCAAAAAGAGACCAUUCUUAAAUUCAUUUAACACCACCACAAAAGACAAUAAAUUUACAAAUCAAAACCUAGAAAGCAACAUGAAUUUAAAACCAACUUGAGCUACAGUUAAGAAAUUUGUUACGGUAAUUCAUAUCGAAAUUAUACUUUUGGUUAAAAAUCAAAGAUUAGUCGAAACUCGAUGAGCGGCUCCACCUGCCACGUAGAUAAUCCUCUAACGACACACUUUCCUCAACGCUGCUCAUGGAAAGAGACGAAUCCUCAACGUCGAGCAAUGCAAGGUUAAGAUGUGACCUUAUAUUUGAUUCCUCUUCUGCUACCUGUACUCUUGCAUCAGACCCCACUUCUAACCGGGCCCAUUUGGUCACUUCAACAUCCCCAUGAAGAACUUUCAGAACCUAGUUCAUGUGGGGCCGAGCACGUGGUGCACGCCUUAUGCAAAGAUUAGCAGCUAGAGCCAUCCUCUCCAUUUGAUCGGCAUCGAAGUUAUUCCCAAAUGUUUGAUCUAAUAGUUGAGAAUAUUUCCCACUGCUCAAUAUCGGUU
rnacentral:lncRNA from 1 species